CCGGGGCCACGAGCUCGUGGACAAGAAAGCCACGGAAGAUCCUCACGGAAACAGAACUGACAGAGACCCACACAGACUUUGUUAAGGAUCAAAGCUGGGAACUGAAAGACCCCUGAAGGCCAGGGCAGGGGAAACUGCUCGAGUCGCCUGUGCCUGCAGAUCUCACGGAGCGGUGCUGCACAGACCUGGCGUGGGCCCUGUGCAUGCUCAGGACCAAGCCGUGGCCCGGGUGCAGGGUGCAGUACACGGGGGAGAGAAGGCUGCUGUUCCUCCUCCGCUAAAGCUCCAGGCAUGGAGGGUACACUUCAGGAGAGCUGGCUGGGGCAGAAAACAAAAAGGAAGACCAUAAGCGAAUGUGGAAAUUCAAGAUGUGUCAGUGUCACGAAAAGAAGACAGCAAGGUGAUGUGCCUGAGAGGUGCUGGCUACAUGGGCCUUCAGAUGGGGGUUGAGGCAGGACCUCCGGCUUGGGACUAGGAUUCUACUGCUCUUGCUGCCCCAGGCAGUGGCUGCCCGUGAAGAUCCUGCCAAAGAGUGUUGCUGGAGGAGGGAUGCGAGGCCUUGAGGUCAAUGCAUCCUAUCCUCAUCUGAGGCUACCCAGAGGCAACCGAUAUUCCAAUUUCUACACCGUAACUAGUUUAGCCUGUUCUUGAACUUCAUAUGGGUGUGAAGACACAGAUGUAUUUGUUCAUCUGUGGCUCCUCCUCCUUCCCCUCAACAUAACGCUUUUGAGACAUCCGUGUUGACAUGGGCCGCAGCAGUUCGUUUGUUUUUGCCAAUAUUUUAUUGCAUAAACAUCCCUCAAUCUAGUUUUCCUUCUCUUGUUGGACAUUUGGGGUUGUUCCCUGUUCUUGUGUGAAUGUCAUGGCCUCUUGUUACAGUUAAAUUUUUGGAAAAGGGUGAGUUUGAUGUUGGACUCAGUUGUCCUCCCCAGGCAUUGUGUGAGCGUAAACAGGCAAAGGGCACCUCCGUGAGUGGGAGUGGAGGCUCGUGAGUAAAACUCUAUCAGUAAACACAGCAGAAGUUACUGGAGAAAGAAAAGUACU